rnacentral:rRNA from 1 species
GACAUGUGGGGCGAGCGUUGUUCGGAAUCACUGGGCAUAAAGGGUGCGUAGGCGGCUUGUUAAGUCAGGGGUGAAAGUUUUCGGCCCAACCGGAAAAUGGCCUCUGAUACUGGCGAGCUGGAGUGCGUGAGGGGUGACUGGAACGAGUGGUGUAGCGGUGAAAUGCGUAGAGAUCACUCGGAAGGCCAACGGCGAAGGCAGGUCACUGGUGCGCAACUGACGCUGAGGCACGAAAGCGUGGGGAGCAAACAGG